UUUAAUUGAGAUCUUGUAUGAAUGAUUGGACAAGAAAAAUUCUGUCUUUAUAUUAAAAUUUGAAUUUAACUUUUAAGUGAAAAGGCUUAAAUAAACUAGAGGGACGAUAAGACCCUAUAAAACUUUACAUUAUAAAUUAAGGUUUAUUAAUUUAAAGAAUAAUAAUUUAUUUUAAUUUAAUUGUUGUGUUGGGGAGAUGGAGGCUAUAAUUUGUAUUAACUGCUUAAGAAUAAAACAAAGAUAAAUGAAAGUUUUAAAGAUCCUUUAUAAAGAUCAAAAGAUUAAGUUACUUUAGGGAUAACAGCGUUAUUUUUUUUGAGAGUUCAUAUCGAAAAAAGAGAUUGCGACCUCGAUGUUGAAUUAAAAUAUCUUUAUAAUGCAGGUGUUAUAAAAGAAGGUCUGUUCGACCUUUAAUUUUUU
rnacentral:rRNA from 2 species